GUCACCGACUGCAUCCCUUGGCUGGGGCCACUGUGACCUUUGCCUGGGAAGUCCGGAGGGUCCCCUGUGGCUGUAUUGGGGUGCCUACACACCCUCUGACCCACCUGGGGGAGUUCUGAGGGGGUUCCCUUACAGUGUGCACCGAGACCGAAUGUCCUGGGGCAGCUGCUGACAGCGUUUGGGGCAUGUGCCCGCUCUGUUUGUGUGUUAGCCUCUGUGUGUGG
rnacentral:lncRNA from 1 species